GAUGAAGAACGCAGCGAAAUGCGAUACGUAAUGUGAAUUGCAGAUUUCAGUGAAUCAUCGAAUCUUUGAACGCACAUUGCGCCCGCCAGUAUUCUGGCGGGCAUGCCUGUUCGAGCGUCAUUUCAACCCUCAGGCCCCCAGUGCCUGGUGUUGGGGAUCGGCCCAGCCUUCCUGUAAGGCCGCCGGCCCCGAAAUCUAGUGGCGGUCUCGCUGUAGUCCUCCUCUGCGUAGUAGCACAACCUCGCAGUUGGAACGCGGCGGUGGCCAUGCCGUUAAACACCCCACUUCUGAAAGUUGACCUCGGAUCAGGUAGGAAUACCCGCUGAACUUAAGCAUAUCAAUAAGCGGAGGA
rnacentral:misc_RNA from 1 species